AGACCCAAGGAUGAAAUUGGAUUUAUAUUUUCUCACGACGGUCAUCUGAGAUUCACAAUGAUGCAAUAAUCCAAUAAUUCUGAUGGAA